rnacentral:rRNA from 1 species
GACAGAGGGGGCAAGCGUUAAUCGGAAUUACUGGGCGUAAAGCGUCCGUAGGCGGCUUGUUAAGUCUGAUGUGAAAGCCCUGGGCUUAACCUGGGAACGGCAUUGGAUACUGGCGAGCUAGAGUUCGGUAGAGGGUGGUGGAAUUCCCGGUGUAGCGGUGAAAUGCGUAGAGAUCGGGAGGAACACCGGUGGCGAAGGCGGCCACCUGGACCGAGACUGACGCUGAGGGACGAAAGCGUGGGGAGCAAACAGG